rnacentral:lncRNA from 1 species
UCUUUGGAACGAUGCGGUUAAAACAUUACCGGCUUUUUGAACAAUGCAAGAUUUAAAAUUAGAAAUGGUCAUAACACCCUUUUUUGGAGAGAUUCUUCCCCAGGCUACACAAGAUUAGCAGAAGAAAAAAAGGGAAGGUGGCCGAUUUCUUCAAUUCAAAACCAAGGUCAACCACUGUGGAAACUCUCGAGGAAUUUGUUCAUCUUCAAUCCCUCCUUGUUCACAUUGUAGCCUCUUCGAUGAUUGGUCCUCGCUUUGCAGUCUGAAGCUCCUCCUUCCAG